rnacentral:misc_RNA from 1 species
GAUGAAGAACGCAGCGAAAUGCGAUACGUAAUGUGAAUUGCAGAAUUCAGUGAAUCAUCGAAUCUUUGAACGCAUAUUGCGCUCUCUGGUAUUCCGGAGAGCAUGCUUGUUUGAGUAUCAGUAAACACCUCAACUCCCUUUUCUUUUUUGAAAUUGGAGCUGGACUUGAGUGAUCCCAACGCUUUCUUCCAAGAAAGUGGCGGGUUGCUUGAAAUGCAGGUGCAGCUGAACUUUUCUCUGAGCUAUAAGCAUAUCUAUUUAGUCUGCCUAAAAAACAGAUUAUUACCUUUGCUGCAGCUAACAUAAAGGAGACUAGUUCUUGUGCUGACUGAUGCAGGAUUCACAGAGACAGCUUCGGCUGACUUUGUAAACUCGAUCUCAAAUCAAGUAAGACUACCCGCUGAACUUAAGCAUUCAAUAAGCGGAGGA